rnacentral:rRNA from 1 species
AACGCGAAGAACCUUACCUAAGCUUGACAUCCCACUGACCUCUCCUUAAUCGGAGAUUUCCCUUCGGGGACAGUGGUGACAGGUGGUGCAUGGUUGUCGUCAGCUCGUGUCGUGAGAUGUUGGGUUAAGUCCCGCAACGAGCGCAACCCUUGUCCUUAGUUGCCAGCACGUAAAGGUGGGGACUUUAAGGAGACUGCCGGUGAUAAACCGGAGGAAGGUGGGGAUGACGUCAAAUCAUCAUGCCCCUUAUGAGUUGGGCUACACACGUACUACAAUGGCUGGUACAAAGAGAAGCGAACCUGCGAGGGUAAGCGGACCUCAUAAAGCCAGUCUAAGUUCGGAUCGCAGUCUGCAACUCGACUGCGUGAAGUCGGAUUCGCUAGUAAUCGCAGAUCAGAAUGCUGCGGUGAAUACGUUCCCGGGUCUUGUACACACCG